UACGUAGGUGGCAAGCGUUGUCCGGAUUUACUGGGCGUAAAGAGCGCGCAGGCGGUCGUUCAAGUCGCGUGUGAAAGCCCCCGGCUCAACUGGGGAGGGUCACGCGAUACUGAUCGACUCGAAGGCAGGAGAGGGUAGUGGAAUUCUCGGUGUAGCGGUGAAAUGCGUAGAUAUCGAGAGGAACACCUGCGGCGAAGGCGGGUUGCUGGGCUGACACUGACGCUGAUGCGCGAAAGCCAGGGGAGCGAACGGG
rnacentral:rRNA from 1 species